rnacentral:rRNA from 1 species
GAUGAACGCUGGCGGCGUGCCUAAUACAUGCAAGUCGAGCGAAGCGGGGACGGGGGAGUAACACGUGGAUAACCUCCUAUAAGACUGGGAUAACUUCGGGAAACCGGAACUAAACCGGAUACUUAGAGAUGGAUCCGCGAUGUAUUAGCUAGUUGGUAAGGUAACGGCUUACCAAGUCAACGAUCCAUAGCCGACCUGAGAGGGUGAUCAGCCACACUGGAACUGAGACACGGUCCAGACUCCUACGGGAGGCAGCAGUAGGGAAUCUUCCGCAAUGGGCGAAAGCCUGACGGAGCAAUGCCGCGUGAGUGAUGAAGGUCUUCGGGUCGUAAAGCUCUGUUAUUAGGGAAGCGGUACCUAAUGAAAAAGCCACGGCUAACUACGUGCCAGCAGCCGCGGUAAUUC